UAGGGAAUCUUCGGCAAUGGACGAAAGUCUGACCGAGCAACGCCGCGUGAGUGAAGAAGGUUUUCGGAUCGUAAAACUCUGUUGUUAGAGAAGAACAAGGACGUUAGUAACUGAACGUCCCCUGACGGUAUCUAACCAGAAAGCCACGGCUAACUACGUGCCAGCAGCCGCGGUAAUACGUAGGUGGCAAGCGUUGUCCGGAUUUAUUGGGCGUAAAGCGAGCGCAGGCGGUUUCUUAAGUCUGAUGUGAAAGCCCCCGGCUCAACCGGGGAGGGUCAUUGGAAACUGGGAGACUUGAGUGCAGAAGAGGAGAGUGGAAUUCCAUGUGUAGCGGUGAAAUGCGUAGAUAUAUGGAGGAACACCAGUGGCGAAUGCGGCUCUCUGGUCUGUAACUGACGCUGAGGCUAGAAAGCGUGGGGAGCAAACAGG
rnacentral:rRNA from 1 species